UCUCUUUACACUUAUCUCAACUGGCAAUCUUCACACAUUUGACUUCCUGUAAUCUAUUGCUGGCAAAGAUGGAGGCAGAUGUGAUAGAAGAGAGUGAAGUCAGUAGCAGGAAGUGACACCUCACAAACCCCACAAAGCACAAGUAUUUAUAUUUAACAAGUCAAAUCUUUAGAUGCAGUGUCAUUAGUGUGUAUGAGUACAGAAGAAGCACCAUGGUCCCAUUCAGAUGGAUUUUAUUCUCUCUACUAAUACUUCAGUGUAGAGGGAACAGUACAACAGCAGCACAACCAAGAACAUCAAACUCAACAAGUACAACUACAAUUAAACCUACUCCAACAAAUGGAACAGAAAUGAUUUCAUCAGGGGACAGCACAACAACAACAACAUCAAACUCGACAAAUACAACUACUAUAUCACCAUCAAGCCAAACUACAUCAAUAAAUGGAACAAAUGGAAAAGAAAAAACAGAAUUGUUAAAAUGGCUCAUCAUUGUUCUUGCGGGAACUGUGGUGCUAAUAAUUGUUACAGUGAUUAUCAGAUGGAAAAAAUCAAAAGGAAACAAAACACAGGUGGAAGAAACGACUAAGGUGGCGGGUGAACACAGCUGCCAAAAAAAUGCUGAUGAUGAAGAUGUCUCCUAUGUCUCUGUCAGUUUUAUCAGGAGGUCCAAGUGUAAAGCCAAGGUCUGUAAUGAUAAUGAUGAUGAAGAUGACACUGUGACUUACAGCACUGUGAAAAGUUCUUCCUCUUCUGCUGGCGUUUCCAGUGAUCCCAGCAACCUCUAUUCCACCAUCAACAAACAAAAGAAACAAGUUCCAGCCUGAAGGUUACAUUCUUUUUUCUGAUUGAUUGUUUGCAUUAUAUGAUAAAUAUGUAAAAAACAUUUCUAAUUUUUCUUUAACUAAAAAAAGGAAAAAAAUGACCUGCAUUUGAUGUGAUGACAAAUGCCAUCGACACACUGGCUAAAGUUUCCCACCUUUUCUUUAAGUUGAGUUUUAGGAUUUGGGGCACUAAAAAAAAGUGGGUGUCUUUUUUCAAAUUUCUGAAAAAAAAGUCAGACUUCUGACUUUAAUCACAGAAUUUUGAGAAAAUUAAAAAAAAAAAAAAAAACUCCCCCACUUUUUUUCACAGUGGACCUAAUCCUCUUCCAUAGAGUUGAGCUAUAACAAGAAAGGUAAAUGUUUUUAAAUGCUUUGUAUUCCGCUGUUAGCAUCUAUCAUAUGUCUAUCAUAGUGAUCUCUUUUGUACAUAAUUGUGAAAAAAAUUCUUCUUCAUGUACAAUCAUCAAUACAAACAGUAUCAGCUUUCGAGGUAGUGAAACAAAGAAACCACUGACACUCCCUCUAGAGGUUGAGGUUAGCGUUUUAUACUGUGUGCUCAUGUACUGUAGGCAAAGUCAAUAUUUUAUAUCUCUUUGCCUUUUUAAUAUUGUUACUUUGUUUCAGAAAUGUAACAAAAACUUGCUCAUUUAUGUCCAAUUGGAUUACCUGAUCUAAUUGUGUCUAUGAUAUAACAUCAAUCAUUACUCCCACUGUACUGCAAAUUUGCUUUCUUGUAAGUUUAGCAUCUACUAAUUAAGUUUUUUUUGUGGAAAAAUAAAAUAUAAUGUAAAAAAUCCCCCCAAGAAACAUCUCUGCUGUUCCACAUUCCAUUAAGCUGCUAUAACACAAAUGAACACCUAACUAGCUGCAUAUAAAACCAGAAAGUAUAACAUGUAUGAUUUAGUUUCAUUUAUACUGAUGUUUUAGCUUACAAAUAAAUAAACGCAUAACUCACAAUAUAACAAAGCCUGAGCUGAGCACAGUGAAAGGCAUCUCGGGAGAGUAAAUGAACUACUAGUGAGACUGCUGAAGCAGAGUGCUUCAGGUAGGAAGUGAACAGAAGAGGCAAAACCCUUCAAGAAUCAGAGCAAUGGUACUGAAGAAGUGCAUGGGCAGGUAGUCGCAGGUUGGGGAUCAGAUGGCUGAGGCCCCAUCCAACUUAGGAGUAAAGGAACGAGAAGCGCUAGCUCUGGUUCAGAUGGUUUCAAGUGUGCGGCCUGUCAUGGCUCUGGAUCAGAAGCUUGGGAGGUUUGGGACUUUGAUACUGUAGCAGGCUGAUGUAGGAGGCAGGCUGUAACACUGACACUAUGCGAAGAGCAGCUGACUCUGAAGCAUGGGUGGCAUGUUUGAGAGCAGACAGUGGUGAGGUUGGGAGCGAGGCAACUGGUAUGACACUAGUCUUUGGCUAGAAAAUCUCUGUACAAAACAACAGUUGCAUUGUUUUAGCGUGAAACAGUGUCUCAUGUCCUUGAUUAAAUAACUAACCAGCUGGGCAGAAAAAGACUUGUGAAAGAGAAGAGUGGCUUCUGAAGUGAAGACUGGAACUCUAUUGGGCAGGGCAGUGAUAACUCAGCAGCAGUAAAAGCUGCAUGUACUAUUGUCACUUCCCCUUCCUGUUAUCUCAUCACUAUUAUUAAACCUCUCUUGUUUGUACUGAGCUCUGACAUUUCACUGCAUACCUGUAUAUGAUUUUACUUUAGAUAUAUUAAUGAUUCCAAUUUUUUAAUCAGGGAACUUUAAAGAAACAAAGAAUUGUACAAGACACACAGCAACUUUUCUGGUCGUAAGGAAAACAUAAACACUCAGAAACUUAAUCUGUGACAAUAUAUGUUCAAAAUGCUUAUUGUUUGGGAUGGAUCUCUCUGAGCCUCUGGUCAUGUACUGCUGAACUUCCCUUAAGUCUUCAAAAGAAAACAAACAAAAAAAGACUCACCUGUUCCAUACCCAGUGUGGUAAAGUACCAUUAUGUCAUAUAUCACCAAGAGCCCUGUUUGCACAUGGCCUAUAAAAGUGAAGAGUUCAUAGAUAUGUUUGACUUCCUCUGUGCUAUUUCAGAUCAGGUAAUUACUUUACCGUUUAAACAAUUCGAAGCAAGGCAAAAUGCAUAAAACUAUGUCAAAAUGGUCCCUUUUUAUUUUUUGCACAAGUGUAGCAAAAAUGAAUGAUUAAAAUCCCGAAUAAAAUCAGCAAGACUACGAUAUGGGAGGAGACAGAAUGAAGUCAUUAUGAGGAAGUGACACCUUAUAAAUCGCACAAAGCACAUUGUUCUCUAAGAUAUUUUAGAAACAGUUUCAUCUGUGACCAAACGUAGAAACAAAGGAAGACAGAGGAGCUCAGUGGUUCCACUCACUGAUGCUUCAGUUAGUAAAUGUUAACAUAAAGAAAAGCAAAUAAACAUAUUACAAAUCUCCAUUAAUAUGUUACUUUAUUAGGUGCUGUUCCUGUAACUAUGACAUGUUUAAUUAUCUCUUGGAAACUAAAACUCUGCUACAAACCUUCAUCUAAAACGAUCCUCACAUUCAUCAUAUAAUGAGAUGACUGUUUAAGUAGGAGGAGCUAGCAGGCAUUUCAUGGCCAUAACUGGUGAUGAAGUCACAAUUGAAUGUGAAUAAAUGAUAGAUGGUUGGCAUAAAUGUGACAGACCUAUGGCUCUUCAGUAGUGACAGAACAUUAUUGUGACAUUUGCAGUCUUUUAACCUUAAUCAGAACUUGAGAAAAUUUGACUCCUAAUAUCAGAAAAUGUUUUUUUUUUAUUAGUUUAUUUUUGUUUCAACAGAAACAUCACCAAUAAUAGUUACGUCAAGUCACUGUGUUUGUUGUUGCUGAAAACAUCCAACUCAUCAUCGCAGCACCAGAAACUGUGUAGAACAUGUUUUCGUUCUUUCUCCAGAUCCACUGUAGUUUCUUGUUGUUCUUGUUGCAUUGAUUAAUUAUUGUGAAAGCUAAAAACAUUUUAUCUAAAAAACACACAACUGGAAAACAACAAGAUGGUGUUUCCCUCAGCUUAUUCAGG
rnacentral:lncRNA from 1 species